rnacentral:rRNA from 1 species
AAGUGAGAAUGCCGGUGUGAGUAGCGAAAGACGGGUGAGAAUCCCGUCCACCGAUUGACUAAGGUUUCCAGAGGAAGGCUCGUCCGCUCUGGGUUAGUCGGGUCCUAAGCUGAGGCCGACAGGCGUAGGCGAUGGAUAACAGGUUGAUAUUCCUGUACCACCUAUAAUCGUUUUAAUCGAUGGGGGGACGCAGUAGGAUAGGCGAAGCGUGCGAUUGGAUUGCACGUCUAAGCAGUAAGGCUGAGUAUUAGGCAAAUCCGGUACUCGUUAAGGCUGAGCUGUGAUGGGGAGAAGACAUUGUGUCUUCGAGUCGUUGAUUUCACACUGCCGAGAAAAGCCUCUAGAUAGAA